rnacentral:rRNA from 1 species
UACAGAGGUCGCAAGCGUUGUUCGGAUUCAUUGGGCGUAAAGGGUGCGUAGGCGGCGCGGUAAGUCGGGUGUGAAAUCUCGGGGCUUAACUCCGAAACUGCAUUCGAUACUGCCGUGCUUGAGGACUGGAGAGGAGACUGGAAUUUACGGUGUAGCGGUGAAAUGCGUAGAUAUCGUAAGGAAGACCAGUGGCGAAGGCGGGUCUCUGGACAGUUCCUGACGCUGAGGCACGAAGGUCAGGGGAGCAAACGGG